GCGGGUAUGGCGGAACUGGCAGACGCGUAUGAUUCAGGUUCAUAUCGGAGCAAUUCGGUGGAGGUUCAAGUCCUCUUACCCGCACCA
rnacentral:tRNA from 1 species